GACGGAGGGGGCAAGCGUUAUCCGGAAUGAUUGGGCGUAAAGCGUCCGCAGGUGGCAGUUCAAGUCUGCUGUCAAAGCCCGGGGCUUAACUUCGGAAAGGCAGUGGAAACUGAACAGCUAGAGUAUGGUAGGGGCAGAGGGAAUUCCUGGUGUAGCGGUGAAAUGCGUAGAGAUCAGGAAGAACAUCGGUGGCGAAGGCGCUCUGCUGGACCAUAACUGACACUCAGGGACGAAAGCUAGGGGAGCGAAUGGG
rnacentral:rRNA from 1 species